rnacentral:rRNA from 1 species
UGGCGAACGGGUGAGUAACGCGUGAGGAACCUGCCUCAAAGAGGGGGACAACAGUUGGAAACGACUGCUAAUACCGCAUAAGCCCACGGGUCGGCAUCGACCAGAGGGAAAAGGAGCAAUCCGCUUUGAGAUGGCCUCGCGUCCGAUUAGCUAGUUGGUGAGGUAAUGGCCCACCAAGGCAACGAUCGGUAACCGGACUGAGAGGUUGAACGGCCACAUUGGGACUGAGACACGGCCCAGACUCCUACGGGAGGCAGCAUG